GACGAACGCUGGCGGCGUGCUUAACACAUGCAAGUCGAACGGAAAGGCUUCUUUCGGGGGGUACUCGAGUGGCGAACGGGUGAGUAACACGUGAGUAACCUGCCCUUGACUUUGGGAUAACUUCAGGAAACUGGGGCUAAUACCGGAUAGGAGCUCCUGCUGCAUGGUGGGGGUUGGAAAGUUUCGGCGGUUGGGGAUGGACUCGCGGCUUAUCAGCUUGUUGGUGGGGUAGUGGCUUACCAAGGCUUUGACGGGUAGCCGGCCUGAGAGGGUGACCGGCCACAUUGGGACUGAGAUACGGCCCAGACUCCUACGGGAGGCAGCAGUGGGGAAGAUUGCACAAUGGGUGGAAGCCUGAUGCAGCAACGCCGUGUGCGGGAUGACGGCCUUCGGGUUGUAAACCGCUUUCGCUCAUGACGAAGCUUUGUGUGACGGUAGUGGGUAAAGAAGCACCGGCUAACUACGUG
rnacentral:rRNA from 1 species